rnacentral:rRNA from 1 species
UGGGGAAUAUUGGACAUGGGGGAAACCCUGAUCCAGCAAUGCCGCGUGUGUGAAGAAGGCCUUCGGGUUGUAAAGCACUUUUGUCCGGAAAGAAAACUUCUGCCCUAAUACGGCGGGAGGAUGACGGUACCGGAAGAAUAAGCACCGGCUAACUACGUGC